UACGUAGGGGGCAAGCGUUGUCCGGAAUCAUUGGGCGUAAAGAGCGCGUAGGCGGCCAACUAAGUCAGACGUGAAAUCCCUCGGCUUAACCGGGGAACUGCGUCUGAUACUGGAUGGCUUGAGUUUGGGAGAGGGAUGCGGAAUUCCAGGUGUAGCGGUGAAAUGCGUAGAUAUCUGGAGGAACACCGGUGGCGAAGGCGGCAUCCUGGACCAACACUGACGCUGAGUGAGCGAAAGCCAGGGGAGCAAACGGGG
rnacentral:rRNA from 1 species